rnacentral:lncRNA from 1 species
GGCUCAUCUUAGAGCUACAUCAGCUACAUUAUCCUCUAACAAGAGAGUCAAGCCUAUUUUUUUGAAGCUUUGAAGCUAGGCACUGACUUAUCUUCUCUAGCUAUGACAGUUUUAGAUGGACUCUUUUUCCAAAAUAAGACUGCUUUGUCUGCAUUAAAAAUAUGAUGUUAUAGAGACAGCUUCUUGCCUUAAACCUCAUGAAGCAACUUCUGCAAGCUUCAAAUUUUUCUUUUGCAGCUUCCUCACCUCUCUCAGCCUUCAUAGAAUUGAAAAAAGUUAGGAUCUUGCUCUCGAUUAGGCUUUGGCUUAAUGGAAUGUGGUAACUUAUUUGAUCUUCUGUCAAGACCAAUCUUUGGUGCUCUUCUCAUCUCACCUUAAGUGUUCUCGUGGGUUGACCUCAACUGAUCCCACAGCUUCCAUUUCUAAUGCAUUAAGCACGAAAAGUUCUCAUUCUCCAGCCUCUCCCUCUCUCCUGGUCUCUAAACCCAACAUUUUCAACCCUCACUGUAACUCCAAAUGCAGUGUGCACAAAAUAAGACUGCUACACCAACAAAUCAAAAUGUGUGUACUCCCAGUUAUUUAUCUGUUCCUAUUUUGGUUAAAGACAUCCUUCAUCA